GAUGAACGUUGGCGGCGUGCCUAAUACAUGCAAGUCGAGCGAACAGACGAGGAGCUUGCUCCUCUGACGUUAGCGGCGGACGGGUGAGUAACACGUGGAUAACCUACCUAUAAGACUGGGAUAACUUCGGGAAACCGGAGCUAAUACCGGAUAAUAUAUUGAACCGCAUUGUUCAAUAGUGAAACACGGUUUUGCUGUUACUUAUAGAUGGAUCCGCGCCGCAUUAGCUAGUUGGUAAGGUAACGGCUUACCAAGGCAACGAUGCGUAGCCGACCUGAGAGGGUGAUCGGCAACACUGGAACUGAGACACGGUCCAGACUCCUACGGGAGGCAGCAGUAGGGAAUCUUCCGCAAUAGGCGAAAGCCUGACGGAGCAACACCGCGUGAGUGAUGAAGGUCUUCGGAUCGUAAAACUCUGUUAUUAGGGAAGAACAAAUGUGUAAGUAACUAUGCACGUCUUGACGGUACCUAAUCAGAAAGCCACGGCUAACUACGUG
rnacentral:rRNA from 1 species